ensembl:lncRNA
UCAAGGAAUUGAAUCGGGCAAUGUCAGAAAAUGAAAACUUAUGUAGCCAUUCUCUUUGGAGCAUGAUCAUUUAAAUAGCAUGUAAAUCUAUUUUUUCCCUGCUGUUUGUAGUAUCAGUAACAUCCUCAGAAGGUGGUACUGAGAGUAGAUCUGAAAUUAGGAAUGUAUAUUGCAUAGGGAAUAUCAUUAACUAUUUGCUAUUUAUCCCAAUCUCGUGGAAAAAAACCUGAACACAGUUAAUACUGACAAACUUGUAGGUAAGAGUUCAAAUCAAAUCCUGAGAGCAACUACUGGACUUUGAAUGAUUUGGAGCAGAGCUUGGAGCAGUAUUUCAUACUCACUUCUUAUAGCCAUAGUGGAUCAAAUCAGAAGUCUGUUUCAUAUUUUCUUUGAAUUAUGUGAGUUCGAAAUCCUGAUCAUAACGUUGCUACUCAGUGGAUAUGUAUUCAUUGGCAUUAGCAUUUCUGAAUGGAUUAACUCAGCCAUUGUGAAAAACAGAUUCUGCAGUUUACUUAAAGAUAAGCAUGAGCAGCGUCAGGUCAAACAUUUUGGAAAUUUCCCAACAGAAAAGGCUCGCUCAUGGAAACUAAAUGUUCUGUAGAAAAGCUGUGAAUUUGAUGAAACUAUUGAAAAGAAGCCAGCAGGCAUUUGACCAAAAUCUUGCUAUUUUUCUGUCAGUUCACCUAUCUUUCUUUCCCCUCCUAGGCAAUAUCAGCCUCCAUGGGCUUGCAGAAGGACUGGGAAAAAGAAAACAACAACAAGAAAUCUCAAGGACAAACUGGCACCUGAGGAAAGAUGCACGUGAACCAGCCCCCUGGUAGGAUGGGGAUCCUCUGCGCCUUCUGGGGAGAUUAAACAAUGUCUGAGCUCCAGACUCCAAGAUACUCAAGCAGCCUGUGGAAAAUGAAAACCAGAGCAAUACUUGUUUCCUAGGAAAAAAUGAACAAAUUAAAAUGAGUGGGGAGGACAGACCCACCUCAGUUUUAGAGUGGAAAGAAAUCCUCAGGAAGCUCUGCUGUGCUCCAUCCCUGACAAAGGCUCUUUAUACUCAACAAGCCUCAGCUACUGGGCAGGAGAUGUUUAUUGUAAUGAAAGACUCUUCAGAAAGUUUGGAACACAAAGAUUUUAUCUUUGUCAGGGGAACACCUAGUGGUUAGUUAACCUUUGAAUAGGACUUCUAAGACAAUGACAACUGCAGGAUUUGGUGCUGUAUGUGGUCUGGAUUUUAUUACAUGAAACACAAGGCAACAUACAAAAUAAACCUCUAAAGUUCUGACAUGGAGAGAUUUUGCUUGUCCUUUCCAAAAGAAAGUUGCCUGAAUUUCCUUCACCCUCAUGGCCAGCCACACAUACCUUCUCCUAGCUGAGCUUGGAUACCCUUUGCAGCUGCUCCCAUACUGUCUCAGUUCUUCCAUGCUCACUGUCUGAGAAAGGCAAAAAAGGAGUUUUCAGAAAAAAAAAAAGGUUUACUCCACAGGUGCAGAGAACCAUGAACUGGCUUAACCCUGGCAGCAGUGCAGAGAUAGCCCUGGUGACCCACAUGCAUUAGCACCAGCACCAGGAGCAGGAGUGCUGCUUCACCACGGUGCUGAACUGACCUCCAAUAUCCCUGCCUUUCUGCACUGUGCAUGACUUCACAGUGAGCUGGUUAAUGUUAGGAUGGGAAUCUUUGCAACACAGUUGGCAUAGAUCAGACAGUAAGCGCUGAGGUAGCUUUGGCCCCUCUGAAAGUCUUUAAGUGACCGGAGUGCUUGUGUCUUCUGUGCCCUCAGCAGAGAAGCCAUUGCCUCCAGCUGCAUUUUCACUGUGUGGGAAUUGUUUGAACUCACCACUGUUGCCACAGCUGCUAAAGGAAAACAUGUAGUUAAAGAUGAGGCUGUGCAUACAUUAUAGAUAUAGGCAUAUGGCUGUCAAGCUGCUGCCCAACAACUUCCAUAGUUAUAUGGCACCUUAUGUUAUCCAAAGCACUUGAAAUUUUUUAGAUAACAAAAGCAAACCAAGACAGCUAUUAUGGCUUUGUGCUGCACUUGCUUCCUGAUAGAGUUGCCAAUCCAGUACUUUGAAUUCUGUGCCAGCAGCUUUGACACAAGUGAAAGAGCAAGCUGUGCUUUUAACAGAUGCAAAUGCUUUAGUUGCAGUGAUCAUUGCUUUCUCAAAAUCAUUAUCACAUAUGUGGGAUUUCAUAUUCAUACUUUUUCAAAGCAGCAACGUUCAGAUGAUUAGAGCAACAUUUUCUUAGCACCAGUAGAUUUUUAAGGAGCAUAAGCAACUGACAUUAUCUUGACUCAAGCAAGCAUUUUACUAUCCCACCAGUGCUUCUGCUGAACAGACACACAACACAUGGUUGGCACUGUUGGAAAUCUUGCAUAGUGCCACCACUGUGCCAUACCAGCAAUGAGCCAUACUGAUGGAUUUCUAGGAAUCUGCAGUCUUCUCUGAUUACAGGGGAAUAAGGACAAACAAAACAGUGUUAAGCCAGCAUUAAGUUACUGGCUUAGAUAUUCUCGAUUUGAGAAUAGCUC